rnacentral:rRNA from 1 species
ACUGUGGCGGCUAUACAUGCAGUCGAGCGAAUGGAUGGAGAGUUUGCUCUGAUGAAGUUAGGGGCGGGCGGGUGAGUAACACGUGGGUACCCUGUCCAUAAGACUGGGAUAACUCCGGGAACGCGGGGAUAAUACCGGAUAACAUUUUGAACUGAAUGGUUCGGAAUUGAAAGGGGGCUUCGUUUGUCUUUUAUGGAUGGACCCGCGUCGUAUUAUAUAGGUUGAGAGGUAACGUCUCCCCAAGGUAGCGAUGCGGACCCGCCCUGAGAGGGUGAUCGGACACACUGGCACUGAGACACGGCCCAGACUCCUAGGGGAGGCAGGAAUAGGGAAUCUUCCGCAGUGCACGAAAGUCUGACGGAGCAACGCCGGGCGAGUGAUGAAGGCUUUCUUCUCGUAGAACUCUGGUGUUAGGGAAGAACAAGUGCUAGUUGAAUAAGUUGCCACCUUGACGGCACCUAACCAGAAAGCCACGGCUAACUACGUGCCAGCAGCCGUGGAAAUACGUAGGUGGCAAGCGUUAUCCGAAAUUAUUGGGCGUAAAGCGCGCGCAGGUGUUUUCUUAAGUCUGAUGUGAACGCCCACGGCUCACCCGAGGAGGGUCAUUGGAAACUGGGAGACUUGAGUGCAGAAGAGGAAAGUGGAAUUCCAUGUGUAGCGAUAAAAUGCGUAAAGAUAUGGAGGAACACCAGUGUCGAAGGCGACUUUCUGUUCUGUAACUGACACUGAGGCGCAAAAGCGUGGGGAGCAAACAGGAUUACAUACCCUGGUAGUCCACGUCGUAAACGAUGAGUGCUAAGUGAUUAGAGUGUCUCCCGCCCUAUUACAUGCUGAUGACACACGCUAUUAAACUACUCCGCCUGGAGGUAGUAACGGUCAGCAAGGACUGAUACUCAGACGGAAAUCGAGCGGGGCGCACCACAGCAAGCGGAAGGUAGCAUGCUGGUAUUAAUU